CAGUCUGUCUAUAAAGUCGUGACAUGAAUGUUUGAGGAACUAACAUUAUUCAUGUGUCUGGCAACACCAAAGAUCACCAAACAUAUGUACAUCAGCUGUCAUCGAGAACAACUUGUGGAACGAUUUUCAUUUUGUGGUUUUUAUUGUUUGACUAAUCUCCUGUAAAUUAUUACUCAGCUACGAAGAAAAGUAUAAACAAUGAGUAAAGUAAAUUGGAGUGCCACGCGGAAAGUGAUUUUUAAAGUUUUCCAGCAAUGUUCCGCGGAGUACCAAGCUGGUCAAAUUUUGUGGGAUUUUGAUGUUUUUUAUGGGCGAACAGCAUCUUUGACGGGAAAAUCAGAGAGUACAGUUAAGCGCAUAGUCAAUGAAGGUUUUCAGAAUAAUGGAAAAUUUAGAACUCCUGGGAAACACAGGCAAGGCCGACCAAAGAAAGAAAUGGAUAAUUUUAAUAUUUGUGCUCUGCGCCAAAAAAUAUAAUUUUUUACACGGUACAAAAAGAGGUCACAAAAUGUUCGCAAUCUCUAAACAUCAAAGGCAUCACAAAAGACAUUUUCAAAGGAAAGCGUUACAUCAUAGUCCAUGCUGGAAGCGAAAAGGGGUUUGUGCCAAACUGCCUCCUCAUAUUCACUGGCAGAAAUAAUUUGGAAGACUACCAUUCAGAAAUGAAUGCGCAUAACUUCACGAAGUGGAUUAAAGAAAAACUAAUACCAAAUCUUCAUGAGCCUUCCAUUAUAUUUAUGGACCUGUACCAAGACAAUUGGUUAUUUGCUUAGGCGAUAAUAACAGCAGCGAAGAUGAUGAUGUGAAUGAUGACAGCGCUGCUUAUGAAAGUGGCAACGAAACUUUUCUUAACAUCGAAAAUUUGGAAUCCGAUGAUGAAAGUGAUUAAUAAAUGUCCUUAUUAACUAUGUAUAA